rnacentral:rRNA from 1 species
GUAGGUGGCAAGCGUUGUCCGGAAUUAUUGGGCGUAAAGCGCGCGCAGGCGGUUCCUUAAGUCUGAUGUGAAAGCCCACGGCUCAACCGUGGAGGGUCAUUGGAAACUGGAGAACUUGAGUACAGAAGAGGAAAGCGGAAUUCCACGUGUAGCGGUGAAAUGCGUAGAGAUGUGGAGGAACACCAGUGGCGAAGGCGGCUUUCUGGUCUGUAACUGACGCUGAGGCGCGAAAGCGUGGGGGAGCAAACAGGAUUAGAUACCCUGGUAGUCCACGCCGUAAACGAUGAGUGCUAAGUGUUAGGGGGUUUCCGCCCCUUAGUGCUGCAGCUAACGCAUUAAGCACUCCGCCUGGGAGUACGGCCGCAAGGCUG